AUUGAACGCUGGCGGCAGGCCUAACACAUGCAAGUCGAACGAGUGGCGGACGGGUGAGUAAUGUCUGGGAAACUGCCCGAUGGAGGGGGAUAACUACUGUAAACGGUAGCUAAUACCGCAUACCAUCAGAUGUGCCCAGAUGGGAUUAGCUAGUAGUGGGAGUAAUGGCUCACCUAGGCGACGAUCCCUAGCUGGUCUGAGAGGAUGACCAGCCACACUGGAACGGAGACACAGUACAGACUCCUACGGGAGGCAUCAGUGGGGAAUAUUGCACAAUGGGCGCAAGCCUGAUGCAGCCAUGCCGCGUGUGUGAAGAAGGCCUUCGAGUUGUAAAGCACUUUCAGCGAGGAGGCGUUACUCGCAGAAGAAGCACCGGCUAACUCCGUGCCAGCAGCCGCGGUAAUUC
rnacentral:rRNA from 1 species